GAAAUGCGAUAAUUAAUGUGAAUUGCAGAAUUCAGUGAAUCAUCGAGUCUUUGAACGCACAUUGCGCCCCCUGGUAUUCCGGGGGGCAUGCCUGUCCGAGCGUCAUUGCUGCCCUCAAGCACGGCUUGUGUGUUGGGCUUCCGUCCCUGGCAACGGGGACGGGCCCAAAAGGCAGUGGCGGCACCAUGUCUGGUCCUCGAGCGUAUGGGGCUUUGUCACCCGCUCCCGUAGGUCCAUCUGGCAGCUAGCCUCGCAACCAAUCUUUUUAACCAGGUUGACCUCGGAUCAGGUAGGGAUACCCGCUGAACUUAAGC
rnacentral:misc_RNA from 1 species